CAUUUAGGACUAGAUGUUGGAAUUAGACAGAAAAAAAAAUUAGACAAAAAAAUUGUGUCUAAUUCCAACAUCUAGUCCUAAAUG
rnacentral:miRNA from 1 species